UGUUUGUGGAUAACUAAUUAAUACUUUUUGCAAGUUGAUUAAUUAGAUGCUAUGUGCAGUGAAUGAAAUGAAGGUAAGAGACAACUAAGCAAUCACAAACACAAGGAAUUUAUAGUGGUUCGGAGCUAACCCUUGCUCCUACGUCCACUCCCCAAGCCUCACUUGGGAAUUCACUAUAACCCCUCGAAUUACAGCCGGUUGUUUUACAAGCUCACAACCUAACUUGUUGUUUUGCGAGAUCACAACGAACUCGGUCGGUUUUCCCAGGCUCACCGACUAGAACCACCCGAUUGUUUUCCCGGGCUCACAAUCAAACCCUUACACGUUGGUUUCAACCUAGGCUCACCAACAAACCUUUACACCCUUGAUUCAAUCCCCUGAUUGAAUCAAGUAAGGAACAAA
rnacentral:lncRNA from 1 species